UACGUAGGGUGCGAGCGUUGUCCGGAAUUAUUGGGCGUAAAGGGCUCGUAGGCGGUUUUGUUGCGUCGGGAGUGAAAAACACUGGGCUUAACCGAGUGCUUGCUUUCGAUACGGGGCAGACUUGAGGCAUUGAGGGGGAGAACGGAAAUUCCUGGUGUAGCGGUGAAAUGCGCAGAUAUCAGGAGGAACACCGGUGGCGAAGGCGGUUUCUCUGGCAAUGUUUCUGACGCUGAGGAGCGAAAGUGUGGGAGCGAACAGG
rnacentral:rRNA from 1 species